rnacentral:snoRNA from 1 species
AUUUCGUGAUGAGGGCACUUUCGUAAUAAAUCUUUGAAUCUUUCCCAUGCCUCAUACAAGGACUCAUCAUCCAUUUGUUGGAAAGCAGUAAUCUCAUUUCUCAGCUU